rnacentral:tRNA from 1 species
AGUUCAGUUGGUUAGAAUACCGGCCUGUCACGCCGGGGGUCGCGGGUUCGAGCCCCGUC